UUAAAUUGAAGAGUUUGAUCAUGGCUCMGAUUGAACGCUGGCGGCAGGCCUAACACRUGCAAGSCGAACGGUAACAGGAAGCAGCUUGCUGCUUUGCUGACGAGUGGCGGACGGGUGAGUAAUGUCUGGGAAACUGCCCGAUGGAGGGGGAUAACUACUGGAAACGGUA
rnacentral:rRNA from 1 species